AAAUUGAAGAGUUUGAUCAUGGCUCAGAUUGAACGCUGGCGGCAGGCCUAACACAUGCAAGUCGAGCGGCAGCGGGAAGUAGUUUACUACUUUGCCGGCGAGCGGCGGACGGGUGAGUAAUGUCUGGGAAACUGCCUGAUGGAGGGGGAUAACUACUGGAAACGGUAGCUAAUACCGCAUAACGUCUUCGGACCAAAGUGGGGGACCUUCGGGCCUCACGCCAU
rnacentral:rRNA from 1 species